rnacentral:tRNA from 1 species
GGUGGCUUAGUGGUAGAGUACUUGCCUCAUAUGCACGAGACCCUGGGUUCGACUCCUCAGCACCA